rnacentral:piRNA from 1 species
UGCCAGAGUCAGUCUGAACCCAAGUU